CAAGAUCUUGGAGUGUUCAUAAAUUGACUUUGACUCCUCCAGUUUACGAUUUUACAGCAUCCAAGAAAGAUAAAAUGUUUUCUGCUGCAGCUAAGGAGAAUAAUAUUGCUACAGUCUAUUUACUUGUAUUGCAAGGGGCACUGACCUUCAAGAUGAGGGAGGAGACAAUAGAGCAGAGUUUUUGAGACCAUACUGGUUAUGGGCAUGAGCUGAACAUGGAUCAAUGACAAGGCCAAAUGAGCUGUGGCAUGUGGGCAGUGAAAUGGUACCAGAAGGUUUGGAUUCAAGUCCCACCUGCAUUUCCUAGCAUUGAGACCACUCCUGAGAAGACUGAUCUGAAAAAUAUUGAAGGUAAUGAUCUUAUAAGAGUGGCAGAGGAAGCAAGAAACACAAAAGCAGCAGCUCUGGGACUCCCUCUUCUCUAGACAAUUAGCUUCUUGCUAGGUGGCUUAUAUCUAUGUUUCUAUAUCCGACUUUGAUGAUAAGCCCCUACAGAUUUCUUUCAGUCUGUUCUUCAC